GGAGAUGUGUCCGAGUGGUUUAAGGAGCACGCCUGGAAAGUGUGUAUACCUGAAAGGGUAUCGCGAGUUCGAAUCUCGCCAUCUCCG
rnacentral:tRNA from 1 species